UCGACCACAUGUAUAUAUGUAUAUAUAUAUGUGUGUGUGUGUGUGUGUGUGUGUAUGUGUAUGUGUAUAUAUAUGAGAAUUUAUAGCUAUUUACAGAACAGGGCAGAGGCAUACCACAGAGGGGGCACAAGUUUUCAGCAAUGGUCAAACCUGGACGUGUCAGCUCACCGCUACAACAGACUUAAGUCACAGAUGAAGGGGGCUGGCUUUGGGGCUGGGGGAGCCACUGUCAAGUCACAGGACACCCGCCCAGGCAGGCUUGGAAAGGGAGGUCUCUGAGAAGAGGAGGGAUGUGUUUAGAGGUCGAAGUGGGGCCUGGGGCUCUCAGGAUGGGAUGGACUUGCCUGACCCGAUCAGCUGGCAGUUGGAGAGAAAGCAGAGAGAAAACGGGUUAGAGAAAAGCCAGAGCUGGUGAGGCAAGUGCAGAGUAUGGGUGCGCUGCAGCAGCUGUGGAGGGCCGGGGAGGGGAGGGCGUAGGUGUGGGCAUGGCAAGGUUCCUGGAAAAGAGGGGCUGGAAGGGAAAGGGGAGGAAGAUGGAGGGAGAAGCCGGAGCUUCAUAGGUAGUGCCUGGGGGCUGCGGCGGCCCUCCCCAGCUCAUACACGCUGGCCUCUUUCAUGGCACCCAGGCAGUCCACCCAUAGUUCAGACGAAUGCUCAGCCCCCUCGGGCUUCUCUCUUCUCUGGUCACCCUGUCUUCCAACUCACGGCCCAGGGCCACCUCUUGCUUGGGGAGCCCCACCCAACAGCCACCAGGCCUGAUAGAAAGGGAACACUGCUUGAACCAAAAAUGGUGAAGCUAUAAGGGAUGGAUGAUUGGAGUGAGUGCCAGAGGCCCCUCUGGGUGGUCCGAAAUCCCAGGGUCCUCUGAAGGGACCCUGGGGAAGGCAGGGAGGGCAGGUAGCCGGAUGCCACUGGCCAUAGACUUAUAAGUCUAAGAGGGGAGCCUCAACUGGUUGGCGGGGGUGGGGCUGCAGGUUGCAUAGGUGAGGCUGGGCCCUUCCUGCUGGGAAAAGCAGAAGAGGGAGAGUCCAUGGCAGGAGAGGCAGGUGGGCUCGCUAGGCGGAGCUCAGCUGGGCCAGCAGGCACUGUGGUCCCCUUGGCUGAAUAGCACAGGCGACCCCUAGGAGCAACAGGCCAAGGUGUGUGAGCCUGCUGGUCGGCGAUAGUGCUUCAGCGGGGGCCAGGGACCCUGCCUUCGGUCACACACUAGCAGCUAUGGUGGUACCUGGGAGGGAGGGAAGGGGGCUGUGUGUCCCCACCUGGCCUGUGGAGUGUGGAGUGUGUUGUGGGAUGACCGUGUGUAUGGGACUCUCACCUAGAUACCACUGGAUUGCCGACAGAUAGAUGAGGUGGGACCCUGACUAUCACCCCUGCUUUGCAGUGGAUUUGGCUCUCAGCACUCCCAGGCUGGGAGCUGGAUACCUGCCCUGGCAGCAUGACUCAGACUGCACGACAGAACACUGCAAGAGCCCUGGAAGGGAGGACACCAUCUGUGGCAAGCAGGAGUGGAGGGGAGGCUGCUAUGGCAAGGAUGGUGUGGCUGAGGGCCAGUCAGCUCCAGGUCCCGCCAGCUUGGAUUGUGCACCUGGGACUUCCUGCCUGAGACAAAGAACCCCUGUCUGUUCCAGCCACCACAGGGCACUUGCCUCUGCAGACGCUCCUAAGUGGUCCACCUGCAAAGCAGCCAAUUUGCUGAAAGACAAUUCCCCAAAUGUCUAGUGCUGCAAAUGUAUUUGUUGGUUUUCACGUUUGUCCAAUUAAAGACACCUGUAUUAGGCCAGG